rnacentral:rRNA from 1 species
UACGUAGGGCGCAAGCGUUGUCCGGAAUUAUUGGGCGUAAAGAGCUCGUAGGCGGUUUGUCGCGUCUGCUGUGAAAACCUAAGGCUCAACCUUGGGCUUGCAGUGGGUACGGGCAGACUAGAGUGCGGUAGGGGUGACUGGAAUUCCUGGUGUAGCGGUGGAAUGCGCAGAUAUCAGGAGGAACACCGGUGGCGAAGGCGGGUCUCUGGGCAGUAACUGACGCUGGAGGAGCGAAAAGCCGUGGGGGAGCGAACAGG